AGAUAAGUGGGAUCGUCUGAUAAUUUUACCGUGUAUUUUGUUCUGCUGCUCUUAAUCAGCAGAUUUAGCGUUUCGACGUUUAUUAAGGCUUAAUAAACUUUUCUAGACGGGGACGGGAUUUAGUUGUGUGCCAGGACCUUAUCAAAGACAAGCAAUCUCGAGCCAACUCCCCGAGGCUUUGGAGCUUGAAUUCACGUCGUCCCUUCACUGCAAACCAGCAGCACAAAGAAGAAUGACUGUGGUUCCAAACUUGAAAUCAAAGGGGUUAAACAGUUAUGUGCAGUUUGGCGAGAAGAAGGAGGGAGCGUGCCGCACCAGCGCCGUCCUCGGCCGGAACAAGGCCGCUCACUGUCAAGCGGAC